AGACUUUUUUUUUUCUUUAUGAAAUUACACAGCCUCCUUUGAGCUCUUUGAAGGGAUUUUUGUCUUCUGGGAUACCUUUUACUAGUGGAUCUUCCCCAGAUCUUUCUUCAACAUAAUCCCUUACUGCUUCACAACAUUUGGACACCUUAAGAGGAAGGAGAAAGAGACAACUCAUGGUAUAAAACAGAAUACUGUAGAUUUUGAGAAUUUAUUUAUUAUAGUAAACUUUUACGUUGUAUCUUUACAAAUGAUUCUUUCUGUUUUCUGCAGAUACAUAUGUGCUUUUUACAUAGAAGAAGAAAGAGCUGCCCCCAACUCGUCCUCCUGAAUAUUUACAGACACUGGCCACAUUCCAGGGAUGGUUCCCAGCAGAACCUGCCUUCAGCUUCAAAGGAGACAAGAUCCAGGGAUCGAACACAACUGGAGCACAAGUGAAUAUUAAUUAAGUCUUCUUCCUCAUUCCCAAAAGUGACUAGUAAAGAUAGAAGGGAAUGAGUAAUUUUAAAUUCCAAGCUUAUCACCAUCCUGGAUUCGCAGAAAUACAUAUGUGUACUUCAUUUUAAACUCGUCUACAAGGACUGACCAUGACAGUGCUCUACAUGAGCUCUGUGGAGUUGGAAACUUUGGCUGGUUUGUUUAAUGUAUCCCAGGCAUUCAUAGCAGAAUGUGCAUUUAGUUAGUGCUCAAUAAAUAAGUAUGUACUGAGCUGAGUCAUGUUUAUGAGUUUGCCCCCAACUCACCUGUAACAUUAUUAUCACAGCUUAAUGAAAAAAUAAAACAACAAAAACAACAACCACAAAAAACAGGCUUUAGUGUUUUAAUGGACUCAGCCAGAAAGAGAGGAGAGAGGCAAUGUUGUAUACACAUGUAACUACAAAUGUGUGUAGUACUAGUCGGUAUGGGAUUCACUUAUUCAUGCUUUUAGCUUCAAUUUAUUUUGUUUUCAAUUAAUGUUAUUCAUGACAGUAACACAGAAAUACUUCAUUUUUGGAAGUUUAUUCAGUGACCAUUUCUUAAAUUAUUAAACAAUUCAUUGAUUUUUUUCAAGUAAAAUCUUUAUGUCAUAUAUAUAUAUAUAUAUAUAUAUAUAUAUAUAUAUUUAUUUAUAUUGAUAUAUGUGUAUGUAUGUGUGUGUGUCUGAAUAUUUGUGUCUCCCCAAAUUUGUAUGUUGAAAUCCUAAGCCUUGAUGUGAUAGUAUUAGAAAAUGGAGUCUUAUGAGAGUGAUUAGAUCAUGAAGGUAGAACCCUCAUGAAUGAGCUAUUAGUGUCCUUAUAAAAGAGACCCAGAGAGCUCCCUUGCCUCUUUGGCCAGGUAAGAACACAACGAAAAGAAAAGAUAUUCAUUGUAGUGUAUGAACACGGAGCAGGCCCUUGAUCUUGGAAUUACCAUUGUUGCAGAACUGUGAGAAAUAAAUUUCUGUUGUUUAUGAGCGACCCAUUGA
rnacentral:lncRNA from 1 species